ACGAUUACACUUUGCAUCCUAUAAACCUCUCCAUGCCUACAAGAUUAGAGAUGUAAUAUCAGCACUGCUAUUAGAUGGCACAUUUUUGAAAGAGACCCUGCUUCACCUCCUCAAAUGAUCUAGUAGACAUCAACAACAGAGAAUUCAGGAAGAAGGUACAAGA
rnacentral:lncRNA from 1 species